rnacentral:rRNA from 1 species
GUCCACGCGGUAAACGAUGUGUGCUAGGGGUAUGGCCCGUAGGGGUUAUGCGCCGCAGCUAACGCUUAAGCACACCGCCUGGGGAGUACGGCCGCAAGGCUAAAACUCAAAGGAAUUGACGGGGGCCCGCACAAGCAGCGGAGCGUGUGGUUUAAUUCGAUGCAACGCGAAGAACCUUACCUGGGUUUGACAUGCUGGUGGUAGGGAGGGGAAACCUGACCGACCCGCAAGGGAGCCAGCACAGGUGCUGCAUGGCUGUCGU